rnacentral:rRNA from 1 species
UACGUAGGGGGCGAGCGUUGUCCGGAAUCAUUGGGCGUAAAGAGCGUGUAGGUGGGCCGGAAGGUCUGGUGUGAAAGCCCGGGGCUCAACCCCGGAGGGUCACCGGAAACCGACGGCCUUGAGUCCGGAAGAGGAGAGUGGAAUUCCUGGUGUAGCGGUGGAAUGCGCAGAUAUCAGGAGGAACACCGAUGGCGAAGGCAGCUCUCUGGUACGUGACUGACACUGAG